UAAUGUUGCCUUAGAAUUGCGGACCCGAAUUAGUACCCGGGAAUUCGGUCGACAGCUCCCGUCAGCCCCUUAGCUCUCCGUAUAAGGGAAUAACCGGCGAAAGGGGUAGCCCCGUUGUUCCCAGAGUCGAGCAGCACCCCUCCAUUAGAGGUGCAAAUCGUCGGCGGCCGUUCUGUUAGAUUAAGCACCAUUCUGCGCGGGGCUACGAUUCUUUCCUGACGGUUAACUCAAUUUGGUCACGCGUGUAGGUCCGAUCAGUACCCUAGAAACCUAUGUAACCUGCCGUCCUCACCCAGUUAUCCACACCCGGGGUAUGGCUCCGACGGUGUUGCAUCUCAAGUCAUUAGGCUCCGCGAAUCACCGCGCGGCGCCCCAGGCGGUAUUUAAAGGCUCCGGCACGCCCGCGGCAUAUUGUCAUCAUGUCUACCACGUCUGUGGAGGUUGUUUCGGAGGCAAGUCGGCCCGAGAGCCCGCCGGGGUCCGCGGCCGAGGUGCCCCGGGAAUUGUACAACGAGAUCGUCCGCUUAAAGGACGACCUCCACGCGGCUGAGGGAAAGUUGGAGGUCGCCCGCCGGGACCUGGAGCGGGCCCACCGAAAGAACAAAGCCGUAGUCGCGAGGCUGCGGAAAAUAAUCUAUGCCACCCAGACCGCACCGAGCUACGCCCGGCCGGGGUGGCUCGACCAAGAAAUAGAGUGGGCCUUAUUGGAGCUCUCUUGAGCCCUCAGAUGCAACGACGCAGGACACCUCCGAAUUCAUCUCGCCGUCGCGAUGAAUGGUGGUUUUGUAGUGUGUGAACAAAUUCUGGCUCGCUGUCUGUAAAUACAUGUGCCAUUUUGUA